rnacentral:pre_miRNA from 1 species
AAUAAGCGUUGUUGUAGGUUUCAGUGUAUAACUUUAAUCAUCCGUUUUAUUUAAAAUAUUUUUAUUAUUAUUAGAUGAUAAAAUAUAAAUGAUACUUUAUGCGGGACUUAACUUUUCAAUUUUUUCAUUUUUUUUAAAAUAAUAUGGACAGUUACACAUUGGACAUGGAAACUUGCUUCACUUAUA